rnacentral:rRNA from 1 species
AGAGUUUGAUUAUGGCUCAGGACGAACGCUGGCGGCGUGCUUCAUACAUGCAAGUCGAACGAUAAGGUCUCUUCGGAGAUACAUAAGUGGCGGACGGGUGAGUAAAAUGUAGAGAAUCUGCCCUAGAGAGGGGGACAACAGAGGGAAACUUCUGCUAAUACCCCAUAUGAGCGUAGCUGAAAUGCUAUUCUUGAAAACUCCGGUGCUCUGGGAUGAGUCUGCAUCUGAUUAGCUAGUUGGGGGUGUAAUGGACCACCAAGGCGACGAUCAGUAGCUGGUUUGAGAGGAUGAUCAGCCACAAUGGGACUGAGACACGGCCCAUACUCCUACGGGAGGCAGCAGUAGGGAAUUUUGCGCAAUGGGGGAAACCCUGACGCAGCAACGCCGCGUGACCGAUGAAGCCCUUCGGGGUGUAAAGGUCUGUCAGUGGGGACGAAGAAUGACGGUACCCACAGAGGAAGCAUCGGCUAACUCCGUGCCAGCCGCUGC